CCUACGGGCGGCAGCAGUGGGGAAUAUUCCACAAUGGGCGCAAGCCUGAUGCAGCCAUGCCGCGUGUGUGAAGAAGGCCUUCGGGUUGUAAAGCACUUUCAGCGGGGAGGAAGGCGUUAAGGUUAAUAACCUUGGCGAUUGACGUUACCCGCAGAAGAAGCACCGGCUAACUCCGUGCCAGCAGCCGCGGUAAUACGGAGGGUGCAAGCGUUAAUCGGAAUUACUGGGCGUAAAGCGCACGCAGGCGGUCUGUCAAGUCGGAUGUGAAAUCCCCGGGCUCAACCUGGGAACUGCAUUCGAAACUGGCAGGCUAGAGUCUUGUAGAGGGGGGUAGAAUUCCAGGUGUAGCGGUGAAAUGCGUAGAGAUCUGGAGGAAUACCGGUGGCGAAGGCGGCCCCCUGGACAAAGACUGACGCUCAGGUGCGAAAGCGUGGGGAGCAAACAGGAUUAGAUACCCGAGUAGUC
rnacentral:rRNA from 1 species